rnacentral:rRNA from 1 species
GUGAUAUGAACCGUUAUAACCGGCGAUACCCGAAUGGGGAAACCCAGUGUGACUCGUCACACUAUCAUUAACUGAAUCCAUAGGUUAAUGAGGCGAACCGGGGGAACUGAAACAUCUAAGUACCCCGAGGAAAAGAAAUCAACCGAGAUUCCCCCAGUAGCGGCGAGCGAACGGGGAGGAGCCCAGAGCCUGAAUCAGCAUGUGUGUUAGUGGAAGCGUCUGGAAAGGCGCGCGAUACAGGGUGACAGCCCCGUACACAAAAGCGCAUGUGCUGUGAGCUCGAUGAGUAGGGCGGGACACGUGGUAUCCUGUCUGAAUAUGGGGGGACCAUCCUCCAAGGCUAAAUACUCCUGACUGACCGAUAGUGAACCAGUACCGUGAGGGAAAGGCGAAAAGAACCCCGGCGAGGGGAGUGAAAAAGAACCUGAAACCGUGUACGUACAAGCAGUGGGAGCACAGGUUUACCUGUGUGACUGCGUACCUUUUGUAUAAUGGGUCAGCGACUUAUAUUCUGUAGCAAGGUUAACCGUAUAGGGGAGCCGUAGGGAAACCGAGUCUUAACCGGGCGUUAAGUUGCAGGGUAUAGACCCGAAACCCGGUGAUCUAGCCAUGGGCAGGUUGAAGGUUGGGUAACACUAACUGGAGGACCGAACCGACUAAUGUUGAAAAAUUAGCGGAUGACCUGUGGCUGGGGGUGAAAGGCCAAUCAAACCGGGAGAUAGCUGGUUCUCCCCGAAAGCUAUUUAGGUAGCGCCUCGUGAAUUCAUCUCCGGGGGUAGAGCACUGUUUCGGCUAGGGGGCCAUCCCGGCUUACCAACCCGAUGCAAACUGCGAAUACCGGAGAAUGUUAUCACGGGAGACACACGGCGGGUGCUAACGUCCGUCGUGAAGAGGGAAACAACCCAGACCGCCAGCUAAGGUCCCAAAGUCAUGGUUAAGUGGGAAACGAUGUGGGAAGGCCCAGACAGCCAGGAUGUUGGCUUAGAAGCAGCCAUCAUUUAAAGAAAGCGUAAUAGCUCACUGGUCGAGUCGGCCUGCGCGGAAGAUGUAACGGGGCUAAACCAUGCACCGAAGCUGCGGCAGCGACGCUGAUGCGUUGUUGGGUAGGGGAGCGUUCUGUAAGCCUGUGAAGGUGGCCUGUGAGGGUUGCUGGAGGUAUCAGAAGUGCGAAUGCUGACAUAAGUAACGAUAAAGCGGGUGAAAAGCCCGCUCGCCGGAAGACCAAGGGUUCCUGUCCAACGUUAAUCGGGGCAGGGUGAGUCGACCCCUAAGGCGAGGCCGAAAGGCGUAGUCGAUGGGAAACGGGUUAAUAUUCCCGUACUUGGUGUUACUGCGAAGGGGGGACGGAGAAGGCUAUGUUGGCCGGGCGACGGUUGUCCCGGUUUAAGCGUGUAGGUGUGUGUUCCAGGUAAAUCCGGUUCACUUUAACACUGAGGCGUGAUGACGAGGCACUACGGUGCUGAAGCAACAAAUGCCCUGCUUCCAGGAAAAGCCUCUAAGCAUCAGGUAACAUCAAAUCGUACCCCAAACCGACACAGGUGGUCAGGUAGAGAAUACCAAGGCGCUUGAGAGAACUCGGGUGAAGGAACUAGGCAAAAUGGUGCCGUAACUUCGGGAGAAGGCACGCUGACACGUAGGUGAAGUGAUUUACUCAUGGAGCUGAAGUCAGUCGAAGAUACCAGCUGGCUGCAACUGUUUAUUAAAAACACAGCACUGUGCAAACACGAAAGUGGACGUAUACGGUGUGACGCCUGCCCGGUGCCGGAAGGUUAAUUGAUGGGGUCAGCGCAAGCGAAGCUCCUGAUCGAAGCCCCGGUAAACGGCGGCCGUAACUAUAACGGUCCUAAGGUAGCGAAAUUCCUUGUCGGGUAAGUUCCGACCUGCACGAAUGGCGUAAUGAUGGCCAGGCUGUCUCCACCCGAGACUCAGUGAAAUUGAACUCGCUGUGAAGAUGCAGUGUACCCGCGGCAAGACGGAAAGACCCCGUGAACCUUUACUAUAGCUUGACACUGAACAUUGAGCCUUGAUGUGUAGGAUAGGUGGGAGGCUUUGAAGCGUGGACGCCAGUCUGCAUGGAGCCGGCCUUGAAAUACCACCCUUUAAUGUUUGAUGUUCUAACGUGGACCCGUGAUCCGGGUUGCGGACAGUGUCUGGUGGGUAGUUUGACUGGGGCGGUCUCCUCCUAAAGAGUAACGGAGGAGCACGAAGGUUGGCUAAUCCUGGUCGGACAUCAGGAGGUUAGUGCAAUGGCAUAAGCCAGCUUGACUGCGAGCGUGACGGCGCGAGCAGGUGCGAAAGCAGGUCAUAGUGAUCCGGUGGUUCUGAAUGGAAGGGCCAUCGCUCAACGGAUAAAAGGUACUCCGGGGAUAACAGGCUGAUACCGCCCAAGAGUUCAUAUCGACGGCGGUGUUUGGCACCUCGAUGUCGGCUCAUCACAUCCUGGGGCUGAAGUAGGUCCCAAGGGUAUGGCUGUUCGCCAUUUAAAGUGGUACGCGAGCUGGGUUUAGAACGUCGUGAGACAGUUCGGUCCCUAUCUGCCGUGGGCGCUGGAGAACUGAGGGGGGCUGCUCCUAGUACGAGAGGACCGGAGUGGACGCAUCACUGGUGUUCGGGUUGUCAUGCCAAUGGCACUGCCCGGUAGCUAAAUGCGGAAGAGAUAAGUGCUGAAAGCAUCUAAGCACGAAACUUGCCCCGAGAUGAGUUCUCCCUGAGACUUAGAGUCUCCUGAAGGAACGUUGAAGACGACGACGUUGAUAGGCCGGGUGUGUAAGCGCAGCGAUGCGUUGAGCUAACCGGUACUAAUGAACCGUGAGGCUUAACCUUACAACGCCGAAG